GACGAACCGUGCGAACGUUAUUCGGAAUCACUGGGCUUAAAGGGCGCGUAGGCGGGCCGUCAGGUCCGGGGUGAAAGCCUCCAGCUCAACUGGAGAAGUGCCUUGGAUACCGGCGGCCUCGAGGGGGCAGGGGCGUGCGGAACUUCGGGUGGAGCGGUGAAAUGCGUACGAUAUCCGAAGGAACACCGGUGGCGAAAGCGGCGCGCUGGACCUCUCUGACGCUGAGGCGCGAAAGCCAGGGGAGCAAACGGG
rnacentral:rRNA from 1 species